GUGCAGUUUGGCAUCCAUGUCACUGAACAUGUAUUCUUUAUUGUUUGGGGACAGGCUGAAUCCCGAUGCCGGGUAGGAAUUUUCUUGAUGCAUUGAAGACCAAUUUGUGUCCUUAGGCUGUUUUCUACGUGUUGUCGUGUACCUUGAAAUGAACAUGUAUGAAAUAUUUGCCGCUGGACGAUAAGCAAACUACUACAUCUCAAUCAACAUGACGCAUAGUAACCGGACAGCUAAAUCAAUUUCUAACGCUUUUUUAAAUUCUGAUAAAGAUGUGUUCAAAUUUCAUACGAUGUCUGAGUGAAGUGAAGAUUCAUUUAAAAACGAAGGGGGGUAUCUCUUUGACACACUUCAUGUUUCCAAUCUCUAUUCAAUGCAUCUAGAGUCGCCAACAAUGAGCAAUACUAACCCGUAUUUAGAGAUAUAAGAAACCCAAGGAUGACAAAUGCGAAACUAUUUCAAAGAGAAAAACACAAGACAGAUGUACACUACAUCAAUUAACACAGUUAUGAUAGACAGGCAUAUGUUACAGGGAAAAAGAUAAUGACCUUUAAC
rnacentral:lncRNA from 1 species